rnacentral:misc_RNA from 1 species
UGUGCGCGAGAGUGUGUGCAUCUGCCUCCUUCCUCUGCCACUUUCGUGUUGUUCGCCUUUGCCUUGGUGGUCUCUAUCCUCAUCCGGCAUUUGCAGACUUUCCAGUAUCAGCGGCCGUGCGCGCACGCGAGUGUCUUCGUAUACGCAAUAUCGAUUUGUCUCUGUACAGGCCUCUGAGUUGCUGAUUCACACACUCACACACAAACAUCCUCUCACGCUCAUAUUUAUCUGUCUCUCCCGCCAAGACGAAGAAAAGCGAAGGCCUAGAGCGCAGAGAACGUGUCUUUGCGGUUAAGGGGAGACGCACACCCCGGGGCAAGCGAUUGUGGCCCCACGCAACUCACCCCCAUCAAAAAAAAAGGCAAAAAGAGACGCGAAGCGGAAAGGCGCACACAACGAUUUGCAUAAAGACUGGAAGAGCGCAAAAAAAAAGGGAAUUCAACGAGGCGGUCCACUGCUCCUCCCCGAAAAGGCAGACGCGGAUCCGUUACGAGGCGAUUGGCACAUAUACAUUUGCAUCGCGAGCGAGCAAGAGGUGACGCACACCUUUCUUCCUCUGCGUUUCUCUCGAUGCGCGUGUGUGUGUCUGUGAUUUCUGCUGUCCCGUAUCUCUGGCUUGUACGUACUUGCUCUUUUUUGUAUGCGUGCAUGUAGGUGUGUGUAGGUGUGUAUGUGUGUGUGUAUCGCCCUCCCCCGCUGCAGUGGUCGCUGUCUCUCACGAUUCUCUGUUCAUUUUUUCCCUUUGUUUGCUUUUUCGCUUAUCGCUCAGUGCCUUUGGCUUCUCUUUGUGUUUUCGCUUGUGCAUCAUCUGUGCCUCGAGGGACCUCACAGUUUGCGUGCCCUUCCGUUGUUGGAUAAUUUGUUGCGUCUAUUCUUCACUGCGUUGCCGUGUGCCUGGCGCGCGCUCUCUCUCUCUCUGUGUGUGUGUGUGUGUGUGGGAGAGAGAGUGCGAACCCCCCCUCCCCCCUCCCCCCAACCGUCUUUGUGUGCUUCUUUCGAUUUCUGUCUUUCACCUGUUGGCCAGUAUAUCAGCCUCCUUUCCCCUCCCCGAACUGCUCCCUGAUCUCGUACACUGGAGAUCUCCGCGCCGCUUUGCGUGUGCGUGUGCGUGUGCGUGUGCGUGUGCGUGUGCGCGCGCUCGUCACUGGCCUGCCGCUGUGCCGCUUUCUUUGGCCGUUUUAUCACCUCCGUUUCGUUUGCGCUCUUCUGUACGUGCGCGUUUGCGCAUCUGUGUUUCGAGUGUGCCCCUGCUGCCCCUCCCCGUCUCUUGCUCUGCCCCCGUGUCGUGCUCGUCCAUUCGCGCUGCUAUCAAUAUCUUUUUUUUUAUCUUUCCCUUUUCUUUUUCUCUCCUCAUUCGUUUUUUGUUUCCGCCUGUGACGAGGCAACGCGAAAGAGCGGCACUUGAGCAGAGACGAAAAACAACAAAAAAAACGACGAAACCCAUAUUGGGGGGAGGGGGAGCGAAGCCCGCAGCUGCAGCAGCACCAUCAUCAUCAUUGUUGGCGCCAUCGUCACUGCGGCUUGUACAUAUAUAGUACUACUGCUCUUUCUUCGCGUCUCGUCUGUUUUUUUUUUUCAGUUUCGUGAGUGUGUGCGCCCUUGUUCUUAUAUAUAUAUAUAUACCUGCCACUAACGGAGGGAGGAAAGCCACCCUUGCAGUUAUCAACAUUACCACCGUGAGCACCGAAGAGGUGGCAACAGCCAGUGGCGCGGCGACAAAAACCUGUUCACAUAUCUUUUUGUUGGUUUGGAGACUCCUCUAUGCCCUUUCGGCCUAUCGGCCUUUGCUACCUCCCUCCCUUUCGCACAGCUGCCGCCUACCCUUUCCGUGGGCGAGAACAGCAAGCAAAAAAAAACUGUAGGAAGGCGCUGCGAAGUCUUAUAAGACGAAAGAAAGUCGAAUCGAAGGAGGCGGCGCCACUCGGCAGCACGCGCGGCAAAGAAGAGCCUUGCUGCUAAGAGGUGUUGGUUGCCUAAUUGACACCCGCCCACACACCCCGCGUGCUCUCCUCUCUUCAACUCAUUUUUUUUUAACUGCCUUCGUGGGUCUUGUUCCCGCUGCUGUUUUCCUGGAAAGAAAAAAGGAAACGAAGAAGGCGUGCCGACCUUCGUGUGUGUGCGUGUGCGUAUUUCUUCUUCAUCCUUUUCUGCGCACCUUCUCUCAUCAUCCUCAUCAUCGCCCGUGUGGUAGCUUUUUGACUGGAAGGAAGUAAAGGAAGGUGCCCCCCACCCCCCACCUCACACGCACACACACGAAAACACGCACGCAAAACAAG